rnacentral:rRNA from 1 species
GACGAACGCUGGCGGCGUGCUUAACACAUGCAAGUCGAACGGAAAGGCCCUGCUUUUGUGGGGUGCUCGAGUGGCGAACGGGUGAGUAACACGUGAGUAACCUGCCCUUGACUUUGGGAUAACUUCAGGAAACUGGGGCUAAUACCGGAUAGGAGCUCCUGCUGCAUGGGGGGGGUUGGAAAGUUUCGGCGGUUGGGGAUGGACUCGCGGCUUAUCAGCUUGUUGGGGGGGUAGGGGCUUACCAAGGCUUUGACGGGUAGCCGGCCUGGGAGGGUGACCGGCGACAUUGGGCCUGAGAUACGGCCCAGACUCCUACGGGAGGCAGCAGUGGGGAAUAUUGCACAAUGGGCGGAAGCCUGAUGCAGCAACGCCGCGUGCGGGAUGACGGCCUUCGGGUUGUAAACCGCUUUCGCCUGUGACGAAGCGUGAGUGACGGUAAUGGGUAAAGAAGCACCGGCUAACUACGUG